GACGAACGCUGGCGGCGUGCUUAACACAUGCAAGUCGAACGGUAAGGCCCUUCGGGGUACACGAGUGGCGAACGGGUGAGUAACACGUGGGUGAUCUGCCCUGCACUUCGGGAUAAGCCUGGGAGACUGGGUCUAAUACCGGAUAGGACUCCUGGCUUCAUGGUUGGGGGUGGAAAGCUUUUGCGGUGUGGGAUGGGCCCGCGGCCUAUCAGCUUGUUGGUGGGGUAAUGGCCUACCAAGGCGACGACGGGUAGCCGGCCUGAGAGGGUGACCGGUCACACUGGGACUGAGAUACGGCCCAGACUCCUACGGGAGGCAGCAGUGGGGAAUAUUGCACAAGGGGCGCAAGCCUGAUGCAGCGACGCCGCGUGAGGGAUGACGGCCUUCGGGUUGUAAACCUCUUUCAGCACCGACGAAGCGCAAGUGACGGUAGGUGCAGAAGAAGGACCGGCCAACUACGUGCCAGCAGCCGCCGCGG
rnacentral:rRNA from 1 species